rnacentral:rRNA from 1 species
GACGAACGCUGGCGGCGUGCCUAACACAUGCAAGUCGAACGAGGUCCAUGCAGUGGCAACACUGCGGAAGACCUAGUGGCGAACGGGUGAGUAACACGUGAGGAACUUGCCCCGGAGACCGGGAUAACCCUCCGAAAGGAGAGCUAAUACCGGAUGUCCUCACCGAGUCGCAUGGCUUGGUGAGGAAAUGGAUUCCGCUCCGGGAGAGCCUCGCGGCCUAUCAGCUUGUUGGCGGGGUAACGGCCCACCAAGGCAUCGACGGGUAGCUGGUCUGAGAGGACGAUCAGCCACACUGGGACUGAGACACGGCCCAGACUCCUACGGGAGGCAGCAGUGGGGAAUAUUGGACAAUGGGCGCAAGCCUGAUCCAGCAAUACCGCGUGUGUGAAGAAGGCCCUAGGGUUGUAAAGCACUUUCAAUAGGGAGGAAAACCUGCCGGUCAAUACCCGGUAGCUUGACAUUACCUAUACAAGAAGCACCGGCUAACUC